rnacentral:rRNA from 1 species
AUGCGCCACCUGGAGUUCCAGAGGAUGCGCGUGACGCUGGCAAUCGGCGUGGUCGGCCUGUGCGCCACGGCGUACAUCCUUGGCGCCUGGCAAGGCACCUCGUCCGCCAUAAAGGACGCCCCCAGGCCUGUGUACGCCAAGACGCAGUGCGACGAAGCUGCCUCGCGUGCCCCCAGCAAUGCGUCAGGCGCCCCCAGCGUCGCCUCGGUGACAUCCUCGGGCGCCCGUCUCGAUUUCCAGGCCCACCACCGGGUGGCCUUCAACGAGUCGUUGCUGGCGACGGAGAUGAUCCCGCCGUGUCAGCUCAAGUACAGCGAGUACACCCCUUGCCAUGACCCGAGGACGGCGAGGAAGUUUCCAAAGGCGAUGAUGCAGUACAGGGAGAGGCACUGCCCCACAAAAGAAAAAUUGUUCCGGUGCCUGAUCCCUGCGCCCCCGAAGUAUAAGAACCCCUUCACGUGGCCGCAGAGUCGGGAUUAUGCGUGGUAUGAUAACAUCCCUCACCGGGAGCUGAGUAUCGAGAAGGCCGUGCAGAAUUGGAUUCAGGUUGAGGGGGACAGGUUUAGGUUCCCUGGUGGUGGCACGAUGUUCCCGCAUGGUGCUGAUGCUUAUAUCGAUGAUAUCGAUGCCCUCAUACCGUUAACUGACGGCAACAUCAGAACUGCACUUGAUACUGGAUGUGGGGUGGCAAGUUGGGGUGCUUUUCUUCUGAAGAGGGGCAUCAUCACCAUGUCAUUUGCACCAAGGGAUUCGCACGAGGCACAGGUACAGUUUGCGUUAGAGAGGGGAGUGCCGGCUAUGAUUGGAGUAAUGGCAACCGAUAGAAUCCCAUAUCCUGCUAGAGCAUUUGACAUGGCGCACUGCUCUAGAUGUUUGAUCCCAUGGAACAAGCUCGACGGUUUAUAUCUGGUUGAAGUAGACAGAGUUCUAAGACCAGGAGGCUACUGGAUCCUCUCUGGGCCUCCAAUCCGUUGGAAGAAGCACUACAAGGGGUGGCAAAGAACAGAGGAAGACCUGAAGCAAGAGCAAGAUGAGAUUGAGGACCUAGCAAAGCGCCUCUGCUGGAAGAAGGUGGUAGAAAAAGAUGACCUUGCCGUAUGGCAGAAACCUAUCAACCAUAUGGAGUGUGCUAAUAAUCGGAAUGCCGACGAAACUCCGCAGUUCUGCAACAGCAGUGAUGUGGACACUGCUUGGUACAAGAAGAUGGAGACAUGCAUAUCUCCUCUGCCGGAAGUGCAAACCGAGGAAGAAGCUGCUGGCGGAGCCCUCGAGAAAUGGCCAGAAAGAGCAUCCGCAGUUCCGCCGAGAAUAAACCGAGGUUCAGUUUCAGGCAUCACCCCUGAGAAGUUCGAAGAGGACAAGAAGUUGUGGGCAGAGCGAGCGGACCACUACAAGAAACUGAUCCCGCCACUGGCCAAGGGGCGAUACAGGAACGUGAUGGACAUGGAUGCGGGGAUGGGGGGUUUUGCUGCUGCGCUGAUGGAGUAUCCACUCUGGGUGAUGAAUGUGGUGCCUUCAGGUUCUGCUCCUGAUGCCCUCGGUGUUAUCUACGAGCGGGGGUUCAUCGGGACAUUCCAUGACUGGUGUGAGGCUUUCUCGACGUAUCCCAGGACGUAUGACCUCAUCCAUGCUGAUAAAGUGUUCAGCUUUUAUCAGGAUAGGUGUGACAUAACAUACAUUCUCCUGGAGAUGGACCGGAUUCUGCGGCCUGAAGGGACGGUGAUCUUCAGGGACACCGUGGAGAUGUUAGUGAAGAUACAAGCCAUCACCAAUGGCAUGAGAUGGAAGAGCCAGAUCGUGGAUCAUGAAUCCGGGCCGUUCAACCCUGAGAAGAUCCUUGUGGCCGUCAAAACUUACUGGACCGCGGAGCCUGCCCAAAAGCAGCAAUAG